GGCCCGGUGGUCAAGAGGUUAAGACACCGCCCUUUCACGGCGGUAUCACGGGUUCGAUUCCCGUCCGGGUCACCA
rnacentral:tRNA from 1 species